rnacentral:misc_RNA from 1 species
AGACAGAAUGCUCUACAUUGAAACUAAAAGGAUCUUGAAUAUAAACUUUAGGUGAAGGAACAUAUCAAAAGAAAUUAUUGGUUGUGAAGUCAAGUUUGAUCAAAUCCAUUGGGGCACUGUGGAUUGGGUGAAGAAAAAUAUGCAAAUUUGCUAGCCAUGAAACCCAAGAAGAAAAAAUGGAGGCUGAGAGUGAGGUAGAGAAGCAUGAGAAAGGGAUUGAUAGAAUAGCAAG